AAAAAGAAAAGGGACGCACGGUGGACUUUGUGCGUGGAUCAUGAGUAAAAAGGAAGCAGUGCCGCUGAUACCGACUGAACCAGUGAACCAAACCAUGGGGACGGGCAAAGUGAGCUUGAAGCUUCUGAUCGACGGGAGCAAACGAACGGUGCUCUUUGCGGAGGCAAGCAAAGAUUUUGUCGACUUUCUCUUCCACAUCCU